rnacentral:rRNA from 1 species
UACGUAGGGAGCAAGCGUUGUCCGGAAUCAUUGGGCGUAAAGCGCGCGUAGGUGGCCUCAUAAGUCCGCUGUGAAAGUCAAAAGGCUCAACCUUUGAAAGCCGGUGGAUACUGUGAGGCUAGAGUACGGAAGAGGCGAGUGGAAUUCCUGGUGUAGCGGUGGAAUGCGCAGAUAUCAGGAGGAACACCGGUGGCGAAGGCGGAUCUCUGGGCCAUUACUGACGCUGAGGAGCGAAAGCGUGGGGAGCGAACAGG